rnacentral:rRNA from 1 species
AUUGAACGCUGGCGGCAUGCCUUACACAUGCAAGUCGAACGGCAGCACGGGGGCAACCCUGGUGGCGAGUGGCGAACGGGUGAGUAACAUAUCGGAACAUACCCUAGAGUGGGGGAUAACGUAGCGAAAGUUACGCUAAUACCGCAUACGAUCUAAGGAUGAAAGUGGGGGAUCUUCGGACCUCAUGCUCAUGGAGUGGCCGAUAUCUGAUUAGCUAGUUGGUGAGGUAAAGGCUCACCAAGGCGACGAUCAGUAGCUGGUUUGAGAGAACGACCAGCCACACUGGAACUGAGACACGGUCCAGACUCCUACGGGAGGCAGCAGUGGGGAAUUUUGGACAAUGGGGGCAACCCUGAUCCAGCAAUGCCGCGUGAGUGAAGAAGGCCUUCGGGUUGUAAAGGCUCUUUUGUUCUAGGGAAGAAACGGU